UAGGGAAUCUUCAACAAUGGACGCAAGUCUGAUGGAGCAACGCCGCGUGAGUGAAGAAGGUUUUCGGAUCGUAAAGCUCUGUUGUUGGUGAAGAAGGAUAGAGGCAGUAACUGGUCUUUAUUUGACGGUAAUCAACCAGAAAGUCACGGCUAACUACGUGCCAGCAGCCGCGGUAAUACGUAGGUGGCAAGCGUUGUCCGGAUUUAUUGGGCGUAAAGCGAGCGCAGGCGGAAUGAUAAGUCUGAUGUGAAAGCCCACGGCUCAACCGUGGAACUGCAUCGGAAACUGUCAUUCUUCAGUGCAGAAGAGGGGAGUCGAAUUCCAUGUGUAAGGGUGGAAUGCGUAGAUAUAUGGAAGAACGCCAGUGGCGAAGGCGGCUCUCUGGUCUGCAAAUGACGCUGAGGCUCGAAAGCAUGGGUAGCGAACAGG
rnacentral:rRNA from 1 species